GACGAACGCUGGCGGCGUGCUUAACACAUGCAAGUCGAGCGAUGAAGUUCCUUCGGGGACGGAUUAGCGGCGGACGGGUGAGUAACACGUGGGUAACCUGCCUCAUAGAGGGGAAUAGCCUUCCGAAAGGAAGAUUAAUACCGCAUAAGAUUGUAGUUUCGCAUGAAACAGCAAUUAAAGGAGCAAUCCGCUAUGAGAUGGACCCGCGUCGCAUUAGCUAGUUGGUGAGGUAACGGCUCACCAAGGCGACGAUGCGUAGCCGACCUGAGAGGGUGAUCGGCCACAUUGGGACUGAGACACGGCCCAGACUCCUACGGGAGGCAGCUGUGGGGAAUAUUGCACAAUGGGGGAAACCCUGAUGCAGCAACGCCGCGUGAGUGAUGACGGUCUUCGGAUUGUAAAACUCUGUCUUCAGGGACGAUAAUGACGGUACCUGAGGAGAAAGCCACGGCUAACUACGUGCCAGCAGCCGCAGUAAGAC
rnacentral:rRNA from 1 species